rnacentral:lncRNA from 1 species
AAUAAUGGUUUUUGUACAAUACGCUUCUCAAACCCUAAUAAAAAUAUUUUGUUCGCUCACGUCUUCCCUCUUUCUUUCGCCUCUUCCGAUUUCCUUACCACUCCAAUCGAAACCCCAACUCGUACCACUCAUUCUUCCCUUUUUCACUCAAUUCAAUUUCAUUAUUCUUCUAACCCUUCGCAGAUCUAUAGUUCCACAUGGUUGCACAGUUGGUAGACAUUUUCAUUUGGAGUGUGGUCAGGGCUGAAGGAUCUGAGCAUGGUAAGGAGGAAGAGGUCAUAGGUAAAUUUCUCAACUUUGUGUCCUCGAUGAUGCAAUCCCAAAUUCUUUUUUUCAACUUUAGGAUUUAUAUUUCAAGUACUGUACGAUUUAUAUCUUGUUGAUUUUAGAUCCGUGAAUCUUUGGAGGUCAAUAUCUUUGAUUUUGUUCCCAACCUUUUGUAUUUCAAUAUCUAUGAUUAUUUUCAAUAUAUACGUCUUUGUUCUCAACUCUUUGUAUUUCAAUAUCUAUGUUUUUUUAACCUUUGGGUUGUGUUUGGUUUAUAAUUCACAUAUUUUGUAUUCCUAUCUCACUUAGGAGUCUUUAAUUUCUACUUUGACAAUAUCACGAACCUUUGGAUAGCGUUUGGUUUAUAGUUCACAUGUUUUGUAUUCCUAUCUCAUUGAGUGGUCUUUGAUUUUGUACUUUGACAAUAUCAUGAACCUUCUGGCAGUGUUUGGUUUAUAUAAUUCACAUAUUUUUUAUUUGUAUCUCAUUGGGUAAUCUUUGAUUUUCAAUUCCUACACUCUAUAGGAUAAUUUCUUUUGUCGCUUCUAACGUUUUAUUUCCUUGCUACAUCAAAUUCUCUCACCCUAUUGGUUCAACCUAAUUGAUUUAGUUAAGGGAUGAUUGUGCUUGGUGGGGAUAGAGAGUUGUGUUUGGAGAGUGGUAGGGGUGAAGUGGCAUUGUGGGUCUUGGUGGGAAUCAAAGAUAAGCUUUCUUUUCCCUUACCCAACCAAUGAUGAAGUUUUAACUCUGAACAAAAAUAGUUAGCUUCUAAUUUACUUAUCUGUUUAGAGUUUAGUUUUAAAACGUUGUUGUCUUCUUUGUUUCUUUGUUCCCUACCCAUCCCUACCAUAUUUUUAGUAUUCAUCACUAUUAAUCAUUGUCAUAUCCCUUGUUCUUUUUGUUUUUUUGGAUAUUUUGCUUAUGUACUAUAUUAUUGUGAUUCUGCCAUAUCUUUGCCCUAUCUCGUACCCCUCUUUCUAGGAAACUUUAGUCCAAGCACAUAUUUUGAUUGUGUACCUAUUUUGAUUCUACCAUAUCCAAAAUAUUUUCUUUCACUUUAUCUCUUAUACCUUCUUUAUAUGAAACUUUAUGGCAUAUUCUAGGGAAUACUUGGUAGGUAUUGGUUGUUGUUGGAAUUCUUUCCUUUUUUUCUAGGCUUUUUCCUUGUUAGAAUCCUAGAAUAAUUAUGGAAAGAUUAUGGGAAUGUAUUCCUUAUUUUCCUAAAUCUUUUCCCUUUUUAUUCCAUUGUGUACUCUAUUUAUUCUCCCUUGUACCUAUUGCUUUAUUCAUUAGAAAAUAAUAACAACACAAACAAUCGUGGUUUUUCUCCCGGUACUUGGGUUUCCACGUAAAUUGGUGUGAACUCGUUGUCUCUCUUUUCAAUAUGGUAUCAGAGCGGGACAAUGAAAACACCCUAGAAACCCAAAAAAACCAAACCACUUAUGAAAAUCAAACAGAAGGGACAACCAUCAAUUUUAGUGCUACCGUAGCUGCUGCCAUUGAUGCUCGGAUGCGUGCUGCCAUGGACGAAUUAUUAAGCCAGCUACAGAAAACGUCCAAAAAUAAUUUUUCGUCAUUACCGCAGUCGUCCGCGCCGUCACCGUACCACCACGCGCCGUCACCGGACCACCACGCGCCUCCGUAAGACCACCACGCGCCUGGUUUUCUUCCUCAGAUGGCGCCGACCAUCCCAUCUGUCCAACCCUUUUCUUCGUCCGCGGCCUAUAUUGCUCCCCACGCCCCGAUUUAUGUUCUGCCAUCUAAUUCCAAUCGGCUACCACUGCUUCUGCCGUCAAAUCUGUAUGGCCAGCCACCCAAUGAUCCUAGCUACCAUCCCGAUGUUAAAAACUCUCAAAUUCACUCAACAUUUGAGGUUGGUGAAUCUUCGGCAUAUUCCAACCGUAACGUGCAAGCUUCCUCGGGAAUAGUUCAUCAACAAUUGGAAGGGCUUCGACAACAGAUAGCAGCACUUGAGGCUACCUUAGGGACGACAUCCACUCUACCGAUGUAUUUGAGAAUCUGAUAAACUCGUUCCCUAAUGUAUCCUCUCCUUAUGUGACUAAUACAGUGACUCAGUCUUCCAUGUAUCAUCUUUCAGGAGAAAAGUUGAAUGGCAACAACUAUUUCUCAUGGUCUCAGUCAGUAAAGAUGGUCCUCGAAGGACGACAAAAAUUUAGCUUUCUGACAGGGGAAAUACCUCGCCCCUACCGGGCGACCCACAUGAACGAUAUUGGAAGGCAGAAGACUCUAUUCUUCGAUCCAUAUUGAUCAAUAGUAUGGAACCUCAAAUUGGCAAGCCGUUAUUGUUUGCUGCAACAGCCAAGGAUAUUUGGGACACAGCCCAGACACUUUACUCAAAACGUCAGAAUGCCUCUCGUCUAUACACGCUGAGAAAGCAAGUUCAUGAAUUCAAGCAAGGAACCAUGGAUGUCACAUCCUUUUUCAAUAAGCUUUCUCUUAUAUGGCAAGAAAUGGACCUAUGCAGAGAACUAGUCUGGCGUGAUCCCACUGAUGGUGUACAGUACUCGAGAAUUGAAGAGAAUGACAGGAUUUAUGACUUUCUUGCUGGUCUUAAUCCUAAGUUUGAUGUAGUUCGAGGGCGUAUACUAGGUCAAAGACCGAUUCCCUCCUUGAUGGAAGUUUGCUCUGAAAUCCGCCUCGAGGAAGAUCGCACAAGUGCUAUGAAUAUUUCCGCAACCCCUACUAUUGACUCUGCUGCUUUUAGUGCAAGAUCUUCUAACAGUAGCAGUGACAAGCAUAAUGGAAAACCAAUUCCUGUCUGCGAGCAUUGCAAAAAACAAUGGCAUACCAAAGAACAAUGUUGGAAGUUACAUGGUCGUCCCCCAGGAAGUAAGAAACGCCCUUCCAACGACAAACAGAACACAGGGCGGGCGUAUGUGAGUGAGUCUGCUGAACCUCCUCAACAAUCCGAUCCACACAAAAACCAAACUGAUCUCAGUCUUGCCACUUUAGGUGCCAUUGUCCAAACAGGUAUACCUCAUUCCUUCGGUCUUGUUAGUAUUGAUGGGAAGAACCCCUGGAUUCUGGAUUCUGGUGCCACAGAUCAUUUGACUGGGUCCUCUGAACAUUUUGUAUCUUACAUUCCUUGUGCUGGGAACGAGACAAUUAGAAUUGCAGAUGGCUCCUUGGCCCCCAUUGCUGGAAAGGGGAAGAUUUCUCCUUGUGCAGGGCUCUUCUUACAUAAUGUUUUGUAUGUGCCCAAACUAUCUUAUAAUUUGCUUUCGAUAAGCAAGAUCACUCGUGAGUUAAACUGCAAAGCAAUAUUCUUACCUGAUUCUAUCUCUUUUCAGGACUUGAGCUCGGGGAGGAUGAUUGGCACUGCCCGACAUAUUAGGGGACUUUACCUCCUUGAUGACGAUACCUCUUCUAGUAGCAUUCCUAGGACUAGUCUCUUAUCUUCCUAUUUCACUACUUCUGAACAAGAUUGCAUGUUGUGGCAUUUUCGUUUAGGCCACCCUAAUUUUCAAUAUAUGAAACAUUUAUUUCCACAUCUCUUCUCUAAAGUUGAGAUGACUACCUUAUCUUGUGAUGUGUGUAUUCAGGCCAAACAAUAUCGAGUCUCUUUUCCCUCACAACCAUACAAACCAACCCAACCCUUCACUCUUGUUCAUAGUGAUGUAUGGGGACCAUCCAAGAUAACAACCUCAUCUGGAAAACGGUGGUUCGUAACCUUCAUUGAUGAUCAUACCCGUCUUACCUGGGUCUACCUUAUCACUGAUAAAUCUGAGGUUUCCUCUAUGUUUCAAAAUUUCUAUCACACCAUUGAAACACAAUUCCAUCAAAAAAUUGCUAUUCUUCGGAGUGAUAAUGGUCGGGAAUUCCAAAACCAUAACCUUAGUGAAUUUCUUGCUUCAAAGGGGAUUGUUCAUCAAAACUCGUGCGCCUACACUCCUCAACAAAAUGGAGUGGCCGAGCGAAAAAACCGCCACCUUCUGGAAGUAGCCCGUUCCCUUAUGCUUUCUACUUCCCUUCCUUCAUACUUGUGGGGAGAUACUAUUCUUACAGCAACUCAUUUAAUCAAUAGAAUGCCUUCUCGUAUUCUUCAUCUUCAAACUCCCUUAGAUUGUCUUAAGGAGUCCUACCCAUCGACUCGUCAUGUUUCUGAGGUUCCUCUUCGUGUGUUUGGGUGUACCGCUUAUGUCCAUAAUUUUGGCCCUAAUCAAACCAAAUUUACCCCUCGGGCUCAGGCAUGUGUGUUUGUUGGGUAUCCCCCUCACGAGCGUGGUUAUAAAUGUCUUCACCCACCAUCCAGAAAAUACUUUGUCACUAUGGAUGUUACUUUCUGUGAGGAUCGACCCUACUUUCCCGUUAGCCAUCUUCAGGGGGAGAGUGUGAGUGAAGAGUCUAACAACACCUUUGAAUUCAUCGAACCCACUCCUAGUGUCGUGUCUAACAUCAUUCCUCAUUCCAUAGUCCUACCCACAAACCAAGUCCCCUGGAAAACGUACUACAGGAGGAAUCACAAAAAGGAAGUCGGUUCCCCUACUAGUCAGCCGCCGGCUCCAGUCCAAGACUCAGAACCUCCUCGAGAUCAAGGUAUGGAAAACCCUACUGAACCCUGUACUAAGAAUAUGAUAAGUGAGAAUGACAGGUCUAAUGUUGCUGUUCUUGAAAACGUGGAAGAAAAGGAUAGUGGUGAUGAGAUUGAGGUCAGAAUAGAAACCCGUAAUAAUGAAGCGGAACAGGGUCAAACAGGAAAAUCAGAUGAGUAUGAUUCCUCUCUUGACAUUUCCAUUGCUCUGAGAAAAGGCACCAGGUCUUGUACUAAACACCCCAUUUGCAAUUAUGUUUCCUACGAUAGUCUCUCUCCUCAGUUCAGAGCUUUUACAGCAAGCCUUGACUCUACCAUAAUACCAAAAGAUAUCUACACUGCUUUAAAGUAUCCUGAAUGGAAGAAUGCUGUCAUGGAAGAGAUGAAAGCUCUUGAAAAGAAUAGUACUUGGGACACUUGUACUCUACCUAAGGGACACAAAACUGUGGGAUGCAAAUGGGUGUUCUCUCUCAAAUACAAAGCUGAUGGUACUCUUGACAGACACAAGGCAAGGUUAGUUGCGAAGGGAUUUACUCAAACCUAUGGUAUUGACUAUUCAGAAACUUUUUCUCCAGUUGCUAAGUUGAAUACUAUUAGAGUUCUGUUAUCUGUUGCUGUGAACAAAGAUUGGCCUCUAUAUCAGCUGGAUGUUAAGAAUGCCUUUUUGAAUGGAGACCUCGUAGAGGAAGUCUACAUGAGCCCUCCGCCUGGAUUUGAAGCUCAGUUUGGUCAGCAUGUGUGUAAACUCUAGAAAUCUAUAUAUGGUCUGAAACAGUCUCCCAGAGCAUGGUUUGACAGAUUCACUACCUUUGUCAAGUCCCAAGGGUACAGGCAAGGACACUCUGAUCAUACUUUAUUUACAAAGGUUUCCAAAACAGGAAAGAUUGCUGUUCUAAUAGUUUAUGUGGAUGACAUUGUUUUGACUGGAAAGGAAAUAUCAGGACGAGUAUGAGAUAAGUAGAUUAAUUUACCCACGAGGCGUUGAUACUGUUCUUUAUCAACUGGAACUUGAUCAUCAGAGUUUCCUAGUUUGCAGUUGAAUUCAAUAGGAGUGUCAGUGGGACGACAUCCUAAUAUACCUGUCUCGGUUAACAAAUCAAGGAUGUAUUUUCUUUGAGAUACGGAGAUACCUUCUUUAGAUCUGGCCACCUCCAUUCCAAGGAAAUAUUUCAAAUUUCCCAAAUCCUUGAUUUCAAACUCAUCGCCCAUUAUCUGCUUUAGUUGACUGAUUUCUGCCUGAUCAUCUCCAGUCAAAACAAUGUCAUCCACAUAAACUAUUAGAACAACAAUCUUUCCUGUUUUGGAAACCUUUGUAAAUAAAGUAUGAUCAGAGUGUCCCUGCCUGUACCCUUGGGACUUGACAAAGGUAGUGAAUCUGUCAAACCAUGCUCUGAGAGACUGUUUCAGACCAUAUAUAGAUUUCUGGAGUUUACACACAUGCUGACCAAACUGGGCUUCAAAUCCAGGCCUGGGCUCAUGUAGACUUCCUCUACAUGGCAUUGGUGACCAAAUGAAAUUUGACAAAAAAACAUUUGUGAAUUCAUCACACUCUUCGGCAUCCAUGGGUUUACACCUGAGAAGUUAAUAAAAUUAUGAGAAGCUAAUCCAAUCAAACAUGGGAGAAGCAUGUGAUAAGGGAGCGGUAAAAAAGAAUCAUCCCAUCUAAGGAAUUAGAAAAGGAAGUACGAGAAUUAAUUAAAAAAGGGAAACGAGAAUAGAAGUUACUCUUCGAGGUUCCUGUAGGAGGAGAACAGUUUGUGCAAGUCAUCUCCAUAACCCAAUGCUGGGAUUUUCCUCACAAUCAAAUACCUGUUGAAUUUCAAAAUGAACAAGCUAAAUAUGACCAAGUGGGAAAGGCAUGCAUAAAAAUGAAACAUUUAACAAGCCUAUUACUAACUGGAGUUGGACAAUGAUGUAGAAGAAAAGAAGAAGAAGACUAACCUUGAAUCAUUAGCUUCAAGUGUCUAAUAAUUGUAGAGAGACGAGCUGAUAGACAAAGAACCCACUAGUACAAAAGUGGUCUACGACGACAGUUAUUUACUGUCGUAAACGAAUUUCACGACAGUUAUUUUCAGUCAUACAAGCGAGAGUCAUGGAAAGUCCUUCGACGACAGUUUUCGAAAACUGUCGCAAUAGGUUAUUUUAUGACAUUAAAUAAAUGUCGUUAAUCAACAUUCAACUACUUCAAAUAACUGUCAUAUUCUAUUUUAUGACAGUUAAUAACUAUCAUCAUUUCUUUAUUAACGACGGUUAAAUAAAUGUCACGAAUUCAUUUAUUGUGACAUUUAUUAAUUGUCAUGAAUAUGUUAUUCGCGACAGUUUUUUUUUUUUUAAAAAUGUCAUUGUUUAGUUAUUGACGACAUUUUUUCCCAGCCAACGAUUGUGCAAUCGUGACAGUUUUUCGAUAACAUUAAAUGUCAUUGUUUUGCUAUUGACGACAUUUUUUUCCAGUCAAAUAUAUUGCAAUCGUGACAGUUUUUUUUGAAAAAAAAUUGUCAUUGUUUAUCUAUUGACGACAUGUUAUUCCUGUCACAUAUAGAGCAAUCGUGACAAUUUAUUUUGUUAAAUAACUGUCAUCGUUCUCCAAUUUACAACAACUAAUAACUAUCACAAAUUCGUUUGUUACGUCAUUUAUUUCCUGUUCCACAUUUCUCAAUUUCCUAUAGUUUUUUCCUGUUCUCCAUGCAGCUCCACCAUUACACGAACCAUUUGAAUGACAAUAAUGUAGCUGAGAAUGACAAAUUUGAAUUUAUACAAGUUUCACACCAAUGUACAAAAAAAUAGCCAACACUUUAAUAUAUAUACACUAUAAUACGAUUUAUAAUAUUUGUACAUCUUAAUACAAGUUUCAAUAAUCCACAUGUACGGAAUACUAGCCCUUAAUCAAAAAAUAUUUUAAAUAGCAUUAGAAUACAUCUAACAAGAUUUUAUGCAGAAGCAUAAACGACCAACCGAGAAUGUUCGUUUCUGGAAAUGUUCUUUGAAAGAAAACUCAUGAAGUUGUCGACUCCAGUUGAACCUACAAAGACAACAUGAAUAUAAGUAUCCAUAACACAUACGUACAGUCAAUGAAUAACUAAAUCAAUGUCUCAACAAAAUACAGAACACAAACAAGAACUUCAACACUUGAUUCCAUGAAAUGAAAAGAGAAGCACAUGAGGACUACAUUAGGCAAACACAGCAAACAAAAACAUACUGUGACUCUUUCUCUCUAGCUAGAAUACACAUACCAAAAACAUACCCCAUCUCACUCUCCCCUUCUCUAUUCAUUUUACUACCCCACUCAUGGUGGUCCCUCUUCAAUAAGAGUUUUGCUUGUGGGAGAUCUUUCCCUUGGGAAUAUGAGUUCUCACUUGACCAAUAAUAUACCUCAUAAUGAUAAGAAACAAAUGGUCACUGCAAGAAGAAGUGGAAGAACCAGAUUAUCAUAUUACAGAUGCCGAACAUAAUAUGGUAAUGGAUAUCAAAUCUGAUAAUGAAAAUGAAGUUCCUAAGAAGAGGAGAAAGAGAUCUAGGAGAAGAAGAACGUCCAACCAAAUGGCCACUGCAAAUUGAACAACUUCUUGGGUUGUUCCUAGUACUUAGAACAAAACAACCUACGACAAUACAUGUACGACAAUUUGUAAUCCUUAGAGUUGAACAGUUUGUAUUAGGCAAUCAUCGCAAAUAAAGAUGAACUAUGAAUAAUCAUGUACCAAUUCUCUCAAAUUAUUAAAACGAAUAGGAAGAUUACAGUAACUACUCAGGUUCACGAACAAAAAAAGUGCUACAGGGAAUGAAGGGUUCAUGUGAAAACAUACAUGUAUCGACAUACCAUUCAUUGUUGGUUUACGACAAUGUAGGUCUAUAGCGUCUUACUUGAAUGAAGUGCCCAGCAUUAUCCCAUGUGUAUGACAAAGCUGUCCAUAUUUUGGAAGACCGCAGUACUGAAUUACAAAAACCAAUUAGACAGCACAUUGCAAAAACAUACAUCUCUAAUCCUCAAUCCAUAUAUUAAACAUUCAAAGCUAGUGAACCAAGGACACAAGCAAAUAAUCACCUUCGACAGUUAUUUGAUUGCAAGAAGAUUCAUAUCCUAAUGCAGUAUGGCACCAAAUAACAAAAUUCCAUGAGCCAGUCACAUAUAUAUCGAACUCUUCAUAAGAAACCUAUAAGCAAACACACAUUCAUAUCCACUUACUUAAAAGCAAGUCACAUAUACUUAGAUGUGAUAAAAUAACCAUUCACUUACCCCUUUCAUGCUUAAGUCUGUUCAAAACAAUGUGCUUAACAUUUUCUUGUGUGUAGUUCGGGUUUAACAAAAUUAUAUUAACAAAAAAUCCCCACAAAAUACUUCAAAAAAUGUUGUUUCCUAAUCUGGUGCUAAGCACGAUGUACGUGCUUAGAAAGGAACUCCGCCAAUUCCGAUCUAACUUCAUCGAUUUCAUCUUGAGAGUACGUAGGAGGUAAAUAGAGUACGUAGGAGGUAAACUUUUCAUCUGUAAAUAAUAAAGUGGUUAAGAAUUAUUUUCAUUCCAAACAAUGACAUAAAGUGGUUUCAAAACUCUAAUACUUACGACAUCUACAAUCGAAGUACUCCUCGCAGAAAUUAUGUCCCGCAUGAAUCGCAUAACAUAGUACCUGCAUUCUACCACCCCAUUUUGUUUGGGACACUGGAUGUAGAAUAUAAAAAAUACAUGUGAAACGUUUAAAUUAAUAACUUAUUUACGACUACCCUACUGGUCAAUGCCACAUACCUUAACAACCUUCCAAUUCGGUUUUUUCUUCUUUGAUAUAUUGAAUGACCUACCACAUAAUAUAAGAUUGUUACAUAAUUAAAAUAGUUGUACACAUAAUAAAGACAUUAACGACAAUAAUAUGACCUACAUUUGAAGCACUUCACUCAUGUCUCCGUCAAUCCGAUUCUUCAACGGGUCAAUCCAAUAUGCAACACCUUUUGUAGGAUUAACAACGACCAAUGUCCAAUGAUUGCUAAGAACACAUUUCCACCAUUAUAAAUUAAUAUUUUAAUAGUGAAUUCAAAUCGUGAAUGCUAAUGAAAAUGUCAUUGUCAUGCGCUUACCCAGAGUUGUAUGGGAACAAUACUACUUGGUCAUACUCGGCACCGAGAAGUCGAGCAUUCAACAACUGCGCACGCGAUUGUUUGUAACUCGAGUAACUUACAGAUCCGGCAUCCAUGAACUUGAACAAGCUUGAACUUCGUCCUUGUACCAUAAUUGUGUGAAGGUACCUACACAAUGAAAUGACAUUACAAUUAAAAGGAGACCGCAACCAUCAAUGACGUAUAUAUAUUAAAAGGAAAUCUUACAUCAUGUAAGCAUCUAAGCAUGAUGUGCAUAUUGGCUGCAUUGACGAGAAAUCCCUCAGUGACUCAACCAUAAUGCAACAUUUUCUCUUCACACCGAAUAGCUCUAAAGGCGUGUUUAGUUGAAUCGAUGACCCCAUAUGUUCAACGAGUCUAACCAAACACCGGAGUGCCACUAGAGCACGUAGAUAUGCUGCCAUAGAGAAUGUGGACGGAUCCGUAUUGAAGCCCACAGUUUCCUUCUAUCACAAAAAGUUCAACUACUGUUAGUAUAAUUUGAUGCAUAAAAACUCCAACACAAUAAGACAGACAAUUACCUUAUCAUUCCUAGUAAGAACAAGAUGUCGUGGCCACAAUAAAUGUGAUCCGACUUCAUGCGUCAGUUUGGUGACUCCUUCCUUUGUCGGAUUUGGAAUCACACAUUGGCCAUCGAGGACAACAUCCACUGAUACCUUGAUGUUCUCACCGUCACCUUCAGCAUCAAAUAUUGUCCCAUGUGCAAUGAUAGUAUCUUCAGUUUCAAAAGCAAGCAUACACAGAGUUCCAACCUACGUAGAAUUAUAUGUUAAAUAUGUGCACGUAAAGUUAGUCAAUACGUUUUCAGGGUUAUGUCUAACUUCUUACAAGAUUAAACACGUAUAUAGAAUUGUUGUGGAGCAGUGUGCCUUAAUUAGUAAAGUAUACUUUAAACUAACCUUCAAGUCACUUGAUCUUGUGUCCCCCACAUUUUCUUCUUUGUUCACUUCUGUCACAACGUCAGCCGCUUUAUCUGGUACUGAAUCAGAGGCUACGUCUUCAGUCUCAUCAUCUGAAACCCCUUCAAUUGAUGGUGUUCCUUUCGAACACAUACUAGGGUCUUGUUCUUCUUCAUCUCCUUUCGCACACUCAUCUUUUUUCAUUCUAUGCAACUUCGCUUCUAGCUCGAUAAUUCGUUUGGCCAUUUGAUCACGUUCCUCAUACACUGUCCUCUCCUCAUUACCUUCUUUAGAUUCCAUUGGGGUAUGGAAAUAUUUUUUCUUAGUCACGUACUUCCCCACGCCUCGGAGUAUGCCCGGACGUUCUUUCCCUCCCAAUGCCUGGGUGAGAACAUCGUCACCACCAGAUAAACUACGUCCCUUCUGGUUGCCCAUUAGAUCGUCCUAAAAUAGUGCAUGAAAUGGAAAUUAAAAGAUGUGAAACCAUAGUAACAAAAAAAACAUGGAAAUUAUAAGUUGCCAAAUUUUCUCAACUUGUUAACUUACAAUGAGAUUGGCAACGUCCAUCGUCUCUUUAUCUGGGAACUCUCCCUUACGAUCCAACCGUGCAUGUUUCCAUACUAUCGAUCGAUCUAUUUGAUCUGACGAAGAAGAUGCACGCUACAUAAACAGUAUAUGUUAUAUUUGGAAUCUAACAUCAUGAAAACAAAGAACAUCUUUAAGGGCAGUUACUUACCAACUCCUCAACCAGAUUUGCAUACCCCUUGCGAGAUAUUCUAUGGUUGUAUUUGUACAGGCUCCUUUUCAGUUUACCAUCUUCACUUUUUUUCUGUAGAAAAAGUUGUAUAAUCUCUAUUAAAUUAACAUAUUUGUGUAACAAAUUGUACAUAAAGUAUAAGAAAAUGUUUGGAUAUCCAUACGUACUUCAAAAUCUUCCUUCAACCGUGAAGCCACAAAUUCAUCCCAAUGGUCUUGAUCGAUGAAUGAGUAUUCCGCUGGUGGGUGUUUUAAUUUCUCCACAUCGUCCUUAAAUGGAAGUACGUACGUAGUUGUUAAUCUCGACUUGAACCCACGAUAGCAUACUCCCGCGUUUUGAAGUAUGCUUUUCUUCAACUUUGGGUCAAGAAUGAAGCCGGCCUACAAAAAAAUAAAUAAUAAAAUGUAUUAAAUCUGUUGAAGUUGGUAGUUUAACCUAAAAACACUCAAUAAGAAGCAUUUUUAUCUCAAUCAAUUCAUAAAUUUUCCCCUUCAUCUCUAUUGGAACAUCAUGCCAAGUAGAGUACGUGAUAGGAACGUGAAACCUUACGGUCGUUCCAAUAAAACUCUUCAACUUCGUUGCAUUCGGUCCAAUCGGUUGACCUAGUUCAUUGUACUGAAUAACCAUUCUCCGUCCCUCACUACUAAAACGUGUUAUAUCUUUCAUUCCCGUAGGGCCACGUUUCUUUUUCUGGCUACUAGUUUCCCCUCUUUGAAUGGGUGUAGCAACCUCAUCAUCAUCUGAAUGAACCAUUACUGCAAACAUACAUGUGAUUUAAAACAUAAUACAUGUGAUUUAAUUGUAAAUGUGAAAUAUGAAAUAACCAAAAAAGUGUUAACAUAACUAAACAUUAAUAAACCCUUGGUUCUCAAAGAAAAUAGGAAACAAUUCAUACAAACUUAAUUAGGCAAAAUUCACACUAAAUAUGGUAAAUCACAUAACACUUUCAAAUUAGAACAUCUACUACAUAAAAUUCUCCGAAAUUUGAAAACAAAGAAAGUAUUGAACAUGAAAAGAAAACUUGAUAACGGUACAUUCUGAAGUAGUCAUCUCUGAAAAUGGAAUAGUCCUACAAAGAAGAAAAAAACAACAAUGAUUAACUCAUUUGUGGGGAUAGUCAAUUGGUAACCCAUGUGCUUUCACAGUCACGUCUAGCAUAUGUUUCACCACCUUCGUCAAAAUCAAAAGUUGUGUGGUAAGAAGAGAGUGGGGGAUAGUGAGGCAAGAUGUCACUUAUGUCAUCAUCAACACAUUUGUGGGGAAAUUAAUGGCAGUAUUGAACAAUUAGUUUAAACGAAAAUAAAUUUUUGAUUGUGUACGUACCUGAUCACUAAACCAUGCACUGAAGGAUCGAUUAUGUUCAACUUGUAGCCACUGUUCAUUUUUUGUUCUUCUGCGAUUUUCUAUCUUUAAUUGAUUGAAAUGUUGCCUACGAAAUGUUUCAUACAUUAAAUUGGUGGCUUGAGGGUAAAUUAAUGGCAGUAUAUACUCAUACGAAUGCUUACUCAACGUAUGGGUGCACUUCUCCAAUGUUCUGUAAGACAUGAAGAUGUGCUUGCUUGAGUUGUUGGACAUUGGGUCGAACGUAUGUUCCUGCUGAUAGCGGUCGAUCGCUUUGUAUUUCUGUCCUUGAAUUGAGUGACCCAAGUCGAAUAGGAUCUAAUCCAGAAAGAAAAUCUGAACAGAAUUCAACUGCCUCCUCGCAUAUGCUUGCUUCUGCAUUGCAUCCUUCCGGUCGAGCUCUACUGCGAACAUAACUUUUCAACACUUUCAUGCAUCGUUCAAAUGGGUACAUCCAUCGCAAAUAUACUGGUCCACAAAGCUUUACUUCUCUAACGAGAUGAACGACAAGGUGAACCAUGAUUGUAAAAAACGAGGGUGGGAAAUACUUCUCAAGAUUGCAUAAAGUCAGAACUAUAUCUUCUUGAAGUGCAUCAAGAUCUGAGACAGAAAAAGUUUUGGCACAAAUCGCAUUGAAGAAGAAGCACAAUCUACUAAUAGUGUACCUCACAUUCUUCGGUAGGACUGAACGUAUUGCAAUUGGAAGCAGUUGUUGCAUUAAAACAUAACAGUCGUGCGACUUAAGGCCGGUCAGUUUUAAGUCAUCCAAAGAGACACGACUACUAAUAUUUGCUGAAUAACCUUCUGGAACUUUAAUUUCUGACAAAGUCUUGCAAAAUCGAUACUUCUCUUCUUUUGACAGUGUAUAACAUGCCGCAGGGAUAUAAGUUCUAUUACCAGUAAACGUUGGUGCCAAUUCUGGUAUAAUUUUCAUAUCAACCAAGUCAAGUCUAGUAUUCAUCCCAUCCUUACUUUUUCCUGGUAUAUCAAGUAAGGUGCCCACUAUGUUCAUGCAUACAUUUUUUUCAAUAUGCAUUAUGUCUAAACAAUGUCGAACAUGCAAGUGUUUCCAAUAUGGUAGUUGAAAAAAAGCAGGUCUUCUUUUCCAAUAGUCAUUGCCACCUUCAUUAUGCACGGUCUUCCCACACUUCUUCCCUCAUGAAAAUAUCAUGUCUUUCAUCUUAAGGUACAUGGCCUUGCCCGACAAGGGUUGUGGAGGAAUUCCAUGCUCUUGCUUCCCAUUAAAUUUUUUUUUUUUGUAAUCUGUAUGGAUGAUGUCUUGGCAAAUACUUCCUGUGUCCCAUGUAUGACAUUUUUUUUUCAUGUUGCAAUCUUAUAGAAGUAGUCUCCUCUCCACAUAUUGGACAAGCCUUAUAUCCUUUCACACUAAAACCGCAUAGAUUACCGUAUGCUGGAAAAUCGUUGAUGGUCCAUAAUAAGACAGCCCGCAGUGUGAAAUAUUCUUCCUUAUAUGCAUCGAAACAACGAACUCCAUCCGUCCACAUCGUUUGUAGAUCAUCAAUUAAAGGUGCUAAGUACGUAUUGAUAUCGUAGCCCGGUUGCUUUGGACCUGAUAUUAACAUUGUCAGCAUCAAAUGUUUUCUUCUCAUACACAGCCAUGGUGGAAGGUUGUAUAUUGUAGUGAUGAUGGGCCAACAACUGUACGUCGUCGACAUAUCUCCAAAUGGGUUAAUUCCAUCAGUAGACAAACCCAAACGGAGAUUUCUCGGUUCUGACCCAAAGGUUGGCCACAUGUGGUCUAUCAACCUCCAUGAUGGAGUGUCAGCGGGUGUCUCAAAAUACCAUCAACUUGUCUAUCUAUCGCAUGCCAACGCAAGUUCUUAGCAUUUUCAGAUCUCUUGAACAUUCUUAUAAAUCUUGGAAUUAUUGAAAAGUACCACAUCUACUUAGCAGCCACACCACUUUUUUCGUCUUUUGAGUUCUUAGCGAUCUUCCACCUUGACAAACCACACUUAGGGUACUUGGUCAACUUUUCAUAUUCUUUUCUGUACAAGCAACAAUCAUUAGGGCAUGCAUCAAUCUUUUGGUAACUCAGUCCUAGGGCACCAAGUGUUUUCUUCGCUUCGUACAAAGAACAUGGAAUUUCAUUGUUAUCAGGUAAUAAAUCACUUAUUAUGGACAGCAAUUCAGAGAAGCUAGUAUUCGUCCAACCAUACUUAACCUUCAGGUUAUACAAUCUCACGAGGGCUGAUAACUUUGUGAAUUUCUUACAUCCUGGGUAUAAGGGUUUCUUCGCAUCAUCAAACAUAGUGUCGAAGGUAUUUGAUGCAUUACAAGAUUGUUCUUGAACAGAUUGAACCAUAUUAAUUGUAUUAAAUAAAUCGUCGUUUUCAUCAGUUUCAUCCACUGUAUUUUCCAUCGUGUUGGCAACGUGAUCUAAGUUCAAUUCUUCACCAUGCCAAAACCAUACCUUGUAACUCUUAUCAAUUCCAUUGGCAUACAGAUGAUACCGAACUGUUGAGACAUCCUUAAGUAAACGAUUGCCGCAAUUCAAACAUGGACAUCUAAUUGAAUUAAGACCUUUGGCAUGACUCAACCCAAAUUUAAUGAACCUUUCGACUCCUAAAUCAUAUUCUCUUGACAUCCUAUUUUGGGUCAUCCAUAACUUGUCCAUUUUGUAGAGGUCUAAGUUGGCCUCGAAAUAAACCUGAUUACAAAAGAGAUUAUAGGCAACAACUUUUAAAACUCAAACUUUCAAAACGGUAGAUGAUCCUCAAAGUACUUAAUAAUUUAUUUCAUACCAUUUAGGAAUUUUCUAGCUGUAUUUGAAACGAUUGUGGUAGGAAAAAGCGUCAUAGAUAGACACACAAAAGUAUAUUUUCCAAAAUAGAUAAUCAACAUCAAAAUUAUAUAUACUAAAGAAAAUAUUGUAACUAUAUAUACGAAGAAAAUAUCGUAAUCCACCUAUUAACACUCAAAUACCAUGAAACAUUCUCCUAAGACUUGAGUCAAUUCAGACCUCCCCUAUUGGAUUUUGUCGACUUUGACAGUUUUGAAGACUUUCGUCCCUAUUAAACGAAUCACUCGAAUGCCAUGAUGAAAAGUAAUGAAAUUUGUUACAUUAAUUCGAAAGGUUGUCUCAUUACCACAUUAGUGAUGAAACCAUCUUGAAGGAAACUUCUGGACUAGGUUCAACAACCCCCAAUUAGCAUAAAACAUUUGAAGGACAAUUUCCUUUACAGACAUGAUGAAUGAUGAAGGGAAUUAGUUGACAAAUAAUUAUAACAAUAGUUUGUCUUUAGUUAGUUGAUUAGGGUAGGUUUGUAUAAGUAGUUUGGCUUACAUUGUACAAGUAAUUAGACUAAUUUUAGAUUGUACCACAGUACACUGCCAGAAAUUAAAAUUGAAGAGAAAUUAACAGUUAGAAAACAAAAAUUGGGCAUAACUCAAAUUCACAAAAUAAGCUCAUGUGGUUGCAAGAACGAAUUAAGGUCAUAUAACAGAAAAUCAACGAUUAAUGACUGAAAUUGGGAAAAACUGAAACUCACGAAACAAUCCAAUGGAGACAAAGAAGAACUUCAUAGAGAGAGAAAGAGAGAAAGAGAUAAGCUUGCCGGCAGAGGGGAGGGGUGACGACCGACGCCCACGAUUUGAAGCUUCGGGUUGAUUGCAGAGGUUUGGAGAAGACCGGGGUGGUGGCGACGGGUUGGUGGUGGCGACGGGACUUCAGACGGUCGAAAUUGGGAGAAAAGCGAACGGUUUCGGAAUGGGAGAAAUUUUGGGCACAAUGCGAUUGCGAACGGACGGACGGCCGGGCAGGAGGGGGGUGCUAUUAGGGCAUACGGAUGGGAGGAAGAAAUUGGGGAAGAGUUUGGGGAAAUUUAGGGCACGCGGAUGGGAGGAAGAAAUUGGGGAAAAUUUGGGGGAAAUUUAGGGCACGCGGAUGGGAGGAAGAAUUUGGGGAAAAUUUUGGGGAAUUUGGGUUUUUUUUAAAUAAAAAUAUGUAAUUUUAAUUUUUAAAAUAUAAAAUAAUAAAUUUUUUAAUGGUAACAUUCUAUGACAUUAAAUAACUGUCGCGAAAGUGUUUUCCGAAAAAUUCCGUCUUUUCCCGCCAAAAACGCAAAAUUUUCUAUUUUAUGACAGUUUUUUAUUUUCCCAUUCAUUUUUUGAGAUAUACAACUGUCAUAGUAGACAGGUUUUCUUCUAGUGACCCUAAGCAAAACCCUUGUAGACAACGAUGCGUUGCCUUGUAGAUGACGAUGGUGCCAAAGCUUCAACGUUAGCAAUUGGAUAGAGAAAAUGACGACGAGGUCAUCGGUUGAACGACAGUCGUGUGAGACAGGAUGUGGAUGGGUAUAGCAGCAAAAGAGAUGAAAGUAUUGUCGUCGUUUGGUUUGAUGCGGGGAGUUUGCUUGAGCAAAAAGAAGAAAGCGUGAAACGCUCCAAAGUCGAAAAAUAUUAGAUGGGAUAAAUUUUUCUAUUUCCCACUUUUUUGCUUUUCAAUAGCACAAUUUAAAACAAGCUAUCCUUAAGGCUAUUAAAAAACUUUUCUUCUAGUGAGUCACCCACAAAACUCUUGGUCUCAGCUCCACCUCUUCUAUGUUAAGGUAUUUUCUUUUGCCUAAAGGCUACCAUAACCAACUUCUCAGCAUUUGAAGCUCCUUUCAGCUGUCUUUUCGAGGAUGGUUUCAACUCCUUCAUUAAUCCUCCACUCUAUUUAUAGAGACCUCUUAUUUCCAAGGCCACUUUCGUGCUUUACACUUGUUUCUUUGUCAAAUCACCAUGCUAUGCAACUAACCCGAACCCGACACGUAUGUUAAAAUGCAGUAGUGAUUGGACCCUCCCUUGAGACAACAACCUUAUCUUCUUGGAAAGUCAAACUCUUUAAUUAUCUAGCUUCCUCAGACAUAACUACUUCUUCUUAUGAUGCCCAUUUUUAACGCAAUUGACCCAAACGUAUCCUUCUUUGCUUAACGCCUUUUCUAGGCUUUUACUUGUCUUAGAUAGUCCUUUUGACAAGGGUUAUUUCUUUAGAUCAGGACCUCACAACUAGUCCCUCCUUUUUGGAAUUUCGUCCUCGAAAUUCUUUGUGUAGUAACUUUAUCGGUUCUCACUGUACCUUAAAAUUCAAAACUCAAAGUUUUCUUUCCCUUUUCGUACAGCGGAAUCCUUCUGCACGAAUUAUUAAAACGAGAGAAACUGCAUUCCUAUUUGCGUUGGUCCUACCCCAAUUGUGGUCUUCUCUUGGCAAUCAUAUUGAUAUUGCCCCACUUUUUCACACUUAAAACAUUCAAUUUUGUGCUUACAAGUUCCUGUGUGUCUCUUCCCACACUCAAUGCAUUUUGAUCUCUAAUCUUCAUACUAAUAUGACCCUCGAAUAAAGUAGAACUUCCCCUGCUUACUUAUCUUUUCACCAUUCCCCUUUUCUACUUCCUUACCUACCUUCAGAUUUAUUUUCUUUUUCUUCACGCUUCUUUCAUCUUCUUUAAUCAAAUACCUCUCAACUCUCAUGGCUGCCUCAAUCAACUUAGAAAUAUCUAUUCAAUUCAUACUUGUCGUCACUGGAAUUCGAAUUGUCGUUCUUAACCCUUGUUCAAAACAUCUACAAUUAUUCUCUUCGUCUACUACAAAGGUCAUUGCAUACUUUGCAAGUUUGGUGAAUUUCUUUUCAUACUCCGUGAUAGUCAUAUUGUUAUGUUCAAAUCUUAGAAAUUCUUUCCUCCUUUCAUCCACAAACGAUUGAGGAUAAAACUUCUUUUGAAAUCCUUUCCUGAAUCCUUCCUAAGAAAUAAACUAUAUUCCUCCUCCACUUGUCGCAUACAGGAUCCACCAAUCCUCAACGUUACCUUGCAACAAGAACGUUGCUAAUUUUACCUUCUUUUCUUCUAGGCAAUCCAUUACCCUAAAGCAUUUCACAACCAAGCUUAGUCACUUUUUUGCAUUAGCUCGAUUUAUGGUUCCUUAGAAAGUUGUGGCUCCCAACGCCUUUAGUCUUUCAAUACUAAAUUGCUUCUCUGAUCGUUUUAACAUUUGGGCAACGAACCCUUUCAAGAAAUGUCUCUUCACUUUCUAUCAUUGCAUUGUAAUUGACUGAAUUAGUUUCUAAGUCCAUCAUAUGCUCAAUAGUAGUCAGGGAUCUAGUUUGUUCUCUACUGGUCCAUGGUAUGAUGUCAACUUCUUUCUACAAAACAACUUAAAAUUUAGCCCAAUUCCUUCACUAGAACUUAAAAGUUAGUACUAACUCUUUAUUCCAAGAUAUAAAUAUUGCAUGGUACAUAGCUAACUGUAACAAAUCAUUUGGUUACACGAUCGAAUUUGGCUUACCUAUGCCAGGAAAUUAUGCAUUUGAAGUUAGCUCUCGCACGUUAGAAUUAUGUGGUUGAAGACAACUCUCGCAUACUAUACGGUCGAAGUCAGCUCUCACAUACUAAUGUGGCCGAAGUAAGCUCUCGUAUAUUAUACAGCCAAAGUCAACUCACACAUGAUAAUUCAUGCGACCAAAAUCAAUUUUUCACAUAAUGAAGCCAUAUGGUAAGAUUUAGCUCUCGCGUAUUUAGCGCCUGUUAUGGUGACAAUUAGUACACAACAAUAUGCUUAGUAGAAUAGAUGAUAACUUGUAGAAAAAUAAAAGUCAUUAUGGUCUUUUAGAUAAAAUAAUGUGACCAAAAUGCUAAAAAAAAUGUAUCAAAACACGUAGAUUAUGUUGUAAAUGCAUAAAUAUUUAGAAAUACAUUUUACAUAAGCAUACAUGCAUGUUUCACCCUAUUUUUAGCGUCUUAAUGCAAGCUAAAGAACAAAAGAAUAAGUCAGUGAAUCACAAAGGAGAUCCCACAAAGACUAGACGAGAAGACCACAUCAGAACGUUAGAAAAAGGUUUGCUAGAAAACAAAAGUGGUAGAUGGAGUUGAAUGUGACCUGACAAUAGAAGCAGCUUUUGGUGCGGACAUACUCAGAAUGAUAGAUUUCCCACCUAAAUCUACCUAUAAAAAAUGACUCCAUCUCUAUCAAGAAAAUAAGGUAUGAGUGGACCAUUUUAGCAGGCUUGACUAAGCCAUUUAGAACCGUGGGCCAAGCUCUAGAGAAAGGUGGAAAGAAAUAGUCUUUCUAAUGUUUAUAAAGGUGUUUCCUCAUCUUCUUCGGUCAUUUUAUAAAGUGAAAGCUUGAGGGUUGAGUGAAAAAAAUCCUAUUCCCCAUCUUCCCCUAACUUGUAAUGUCAUUCUCUAUUCACUACUACAAAAAAGGCUUUACUUGACGCUUAAAAACUGUCAAGUAUUUGUUACUUGACGCUUUUCAAUGUGUCAAGUAAUCCAGUGUGAACAACAAGAAACAAAGACAUCACCCUCCUCCAAGCACCACAACGCUCUUAGAUAACUCCAAACUGAUCAAAGUUUCACUAAUUGUUAUCCUCAACUCCUUGAAAUCUACAAACAAAAUAAGAAUAGCAUUAAAACUAAGUACUUUACCUUCUAACUAUAGGACUAAAGAAACUAUAUAUUUGUAGUAGUGAUUCUUCCCAUUUUUGUAUUUCUUUACAUUGCAUUUGUUCCUAUUAUACAGUUCGACCUUUGUUCUUUAAUAUAAUGUAUCUUUUUACCUUUUCAAUCUCUCCAUGUCUUUACUGUUCAUUUGUUGAUGUAAUUCAAAGUUGGAUUGAUUUCUCAAAAGAAUUCUCUGCCAUAUUUCAAGCUAGGAGACUGUUAUAUAUUGAUAUCUCAAGGUUAGUUACAAGUUAGUUACAAGGUUGUUUUAUUUAGUUAGUUACAAGACUGUUUUAGGAAGUUAGUUACAGCUGUACUUCUAAUUAGUUAGGGAUUUUUACUAACUAACUAGCUAUAGUUUACAUCAUUUGUCUUGUGUUAUUUGUAGUUUAGGAUCUAUGAUAGAUUCUUGAUAAGAAGCUUUGCUUAUAAUUCUUACCGCGUUAGUUGAGUUGCUUUCAUCACUUGGCCAGUGUAUAUCGUCAACUACUCGAGAAGGAAAGUAACAAGGAUAUAGCUAACGCGCACAAGAAGGAGUUUAGAGACAAACUCAAUCUUGGUGAGAUAGCUUCCAAUUUAUGUCGGGAACAAGUGUAGGUAUUACGCGCCAAGAGAUUCCUACCCUUAAACACAAAGCUCUAUAAGACUUUUAAGUGAACACUUCUAGAUAUAUACCUUAUUUAGCUAGGAUUAGUCAUUUGAAUCCCGACAGGUGAUUAACUGUGGUGUUUAAAGACUCCAAAAGGAGCUCUCCUUAAUCAUAAGCUAGUUAGGUAAGUCAUAUCGUGUCAAGAUUUUCAUAUGGCUUAAUCGUCGAGUAGCACUAUACAUUCCCUCACCUCAUCGUUAAUGCAAGUUAGUUCACGCUUCCAUUCUCCCAACUACCAUCAUUAAAUUACAGAGUUAUCUAGUGUACAUAAGUUUGAUAUAGUUUAAACAUACACUCUCUUAUAUUGUAUAAAAUUCUUUGAUACUGCCUAAUUGAUAAGUAGACCCUAGAACUAAGCUUUGAUAUCAAUUCCCUAUGUUUGACUCUAAAUCAUCCAAGAAAACCUAUUGUUUAACUUACACUUAGGCAUCCAAUAGGAAAACUUGUACACAUAAGGAGGACUUAGAAGUAUGUGAUGAGAGAGGAUAUUGGGAGCAUUUUGCAUGUAAUGAUUUUGAAUCAAGGAAUCAUCGUGAGGAAUUAAAUAUACACAUACACUACACCAACAUAAGCAACAACAUUAUUUCUUAUGUCUCUAACCUUUGUUGCUUAGAGUUAGAUAUGCAUGACACUACAUUUUAUCUCACUAAGUCCAUGGAGUUAACCAAUUAAAUCAAGAUGUAGACAAACAGACAAGCAAUAGCUCACACGUGAAGUCAAGCGGCCAGACUACUUAGACUUAUCUAUCAGAAACCAUAUUCCCACGACCAAGCUUCAGAACUAACUGUUGAAUAAGAAAUUUUGAGACCAAUCACAAGUUGCCACAUCAUUUAUUAAGUUAAUGAUGAAAAGUACAAAUAAUUAAAUUUGAGACUAAUUAAAAUUGACACAUGCCCCAAAUUAAAGAGUUAAAAUAAAUAAAUUGGUCAUUCUAAUAAUGCCACAUGUUUUCAUAUUAAUCGUUGGAUUAAGUUAAUCAUUUUAGUUCAAUUAAGCAAAAAAAAAAUAAGCUUAAUUGAGCCCAAAGACUAAAUAUAACCUAAGUCCAUAUGGUUGAGCCCAUGGGUCUGGUCCAUGGACCAACCAAGUUCAAACCCAUAAAGCCCACCAGUGAACUCUAUAAAUAGAGGAAUUCUCCUCAUUUGCAGGGGUUGGAAAAUUUUGACUCUAGAAGAUCUAGAGAGAAUUCUUCCAAGAGCUAGAAGACUCCCUAACUUCUGAAGUUGACCACCCUCGAAGAUUGAAGCUGCUUUGAAGAUACAAACUUUCUUCCAAGACUCCAACUUCAAGAACAUCACGUGCUCCGCUUCCUCAAAUCAAGCGUAAGCAUUCAACCAACUUGAAGAACAUCACGUGCUCCGCUUCUCCAAAUCAAGCGUAGACGUUCAACAAACUUCAAGAACAUCACGUGCUCCGCUUCUCCAAAUCAAGCGUAGACGUUCAACAAACUUCAAGAACAUCACGUGCUCCGCUUCUCCAAAUCAAGCGUAGACGUUCAACAAACUUCAAGAACAUCACGUGCCGCUUCUCCAAAUCAAGCGUAGACGUUCAACAAACUUCAAGAACAUCACGUGCUCCGCUUCCUCCAAAUCAAGCGUAGACAUACAGUUGAGAGAGAAUCAGAGGAUCAAAUUCUAGAGAUUGAACCGCAUCGCAUCAAAUCAACAAAAAUACAACAUCAACCCAAGUUCAAGUCCACGAAUUAAAUUUCUCCGGAAAUCUCGUGCGAACAAAUUGGCACGCCCGGUGGGACCAUCUCUACCUCUCAUCUCUCUCUCAUCAUCUAGAUCUACAAGCAAAUCAAUGGCAUCAAAGAAAGCUGCAUCCAAAUCUUCAGCUGCAAGCGACACCUACACGGGACCUAUCACCCGUAGUCGUUCCAAGGGGAUCAUCCAAGGGCAAGACCAAGGUUCCGCCAUCGCGCAGAGCAUCCUGAAGCAAUUGAUGGAAUCUCCUAAAGCUGGAAUUGUCAUCAAGGAAAAUCCUCUAUAUAAUGAUUAUGAUUCUGCCUCUAGCAGGUCACUGAAAGAAGCACACCCAGAUGUGAUGUCCGUCAUGAUGGCUGAUGUAGCAGUCGAGACUGCNNNNNNNNNNNNNNNNNNNNNNNNNNNNNNNNNNNNNNNNNNNNNNNNNNNNNNNNNNNNNNNNNNNNNNNNNNNNNNNNNNNNNNNNNNNNNNNNNNNNNNNNNNNNNNNNNNNNNNNNNNNNNNNNNNNNNNNNNNNNNNNNNNNNNNNNNNNNNNNNNNNNNNNNNNNNNNNNNNNNNNNNNNNNNNNNNNNNNNNNNNNNNNNNNNNNNNNNNNNNNNNNNNNNNNNNNNNNNNNNNNNNNNNNNNNNNNNNNNNNNNNNNNNNNNNNNNNNNNNNNNNNNNNNNNNNNNNNNNNNNNNNNNNNNNNNNNNNNNNNNNNNNNNNNNNNNNNNNNNNNNNNNNNNNNNNNNNNNNNNNNNNNNNNNNNNNNNNNNNNNNNNNNNNNNNNNNNNNNNNNNNNNNNNNNNNNNNNNNNNNNNNNNNNNNNNNNNNNNNNNNNNNNNNNNNNNNNNNNNNNNNNNNNNNNNNNNNNNNNNNNNNNNNNNNNNNNNNNNNNGCAAUGAUCCAACGUGUUCAUGUAGUUGACAUGCGAGUGAGGGUAUCCUAUGCAAUGAGUUUACAUAAGACCGGACCGCGAAAUAGUAACCACUAGAUGUAACUCUGUUAAUUAGUUAGGUUUCUAUUUCACUAGGAUGACCUAAGUAACUUAGUCUUAAUCCUGAGUGUGUUAUGAAUUCCUAUUCGCGAGUGAUUGUCCUUUGAUUUGUACGGGUGAGAGUGGCCAGAUCGCCGACUCAAUAAGCUUAUCAUUUUGGGGACAAGACCAAGUGGGGAGCUGGGAACAUAAUUACACAAGAUGGAAUUCACUUCUCUCCUACUUUAGGGUAAGUAGAUGAGUGUUCCCUUAAAUGGUGUCUCCAGGUCUUGAACAAAGGGUCCUACCCUCUCUAUGGCACGAGAGGCAUUUCUGUUUAUUGGUAGGACCAUAAAUAGGUUGUUCAUUGGAGGAGCACUGGUAUUUAAGGAUUAGAGGUAACCCAGUGGUAAAAUGGUAAAUUGUCCCAACUAGUGUUACGAACACUCCUGAAGGACUAACUUACUGUUAUUGGUCUAUAUCCAUGGACACAGAAAUAUAUCUACAGUGAGAAGAGUUCAGCUAUGAGUCUUUAGUGGAGUGUACACACAGUUAACGAAUAUUGAUUAAUGUGGUUAAUGAGUUUAGUCAAUUAAUCUUAGAUUGUUGUAGCUUCUGAUUUGUAGGUCCAUUAGGUCGUCUUCCUAGCUCGUAAAGGGUAAUGAGAUUUAUUUAUAUUGGUUGUAAUUUAAAAUGUUCAAAUAUACUUAGGAAAUUAGUUUAAUGUAUAGUGAUACAUUAUAAUAUAAAGUUUGUGAAACUUUAUUAUAAAUUUAAUUUUGGAUAUGAUUCAAAAUUAAUUUAUGAGAGAUAAAAUAUUUGAAUAAAUUCAAAUAUUAAUGUGAAUUGGAUUCAUAUUAAAAUUAUUGGUUAGGAGAGAAACUUAUAUUUGAAUAUGAUUCAAAUUUAAUUUUAAUUAAAUAUCUUAUAUUUAGAUAUUUAACUUAGCUAUUAAUUAAUUGAAGAAUUAAUUAAUAAUUUAGUUUUAUUUAAUUAAAUUUAUAAAAUGAUAUUGCAGAGAUAUUAAUUAAUUAUGAUUUAAUUAAUUAUAUUAAUAUAAAUAUAUAAGAUAUUAGAGAUAUUUAUUCAAAUAAGAUUUGAAUGAAAUAUUAAUUAAAUAUAAUUUAAUUAAUUAUUAACUAAUUGAUUAAUUGUUAAUUAAUUAGUAGAUUUGAUAUUAAGAAUCUUAUGAUUCUCUCCUGCUCAUUUUCCUAUUCCAAGAAGGAAAGAGACCUAUAAAUAUCUAGAAGAAAACAGUUUUCUUUAGCGAAAGCUUUUUUUGUCUGCAAAAAGAGUUUCUCUCAAAUAUCUCUAAACCUUUUCCCAUCCCAAUUGAUUUCCACAAACCAAUCUCAUCCCAGAGGAUAGGAAGGUCUCCGACGGGUGGUGUCCCAAUUUGGAGAUUGAGUUGUAGAUUCAGAGACAACCUCGAAAGUAAGUUCUUGUAUCUUAUCUUUAAAAGCAUUCUUAGAAUUUAUUUAGAAUUAUGAUUCUAAAAUUUUGCCAAUGUAUCGAUAUUUUAAGAUUUUCAAAUUAAAUUGAGUAAUAGUUCUUUAAUUCUUCCGUUGCCGUAGGGCUUUUAUCCCUUCAAUCAUGUCACUCCAACUACUACUUUGUCUUCUAGUGAACUACUACUUUGUCUUCUAGUGAACUACUACUUUGUCUUCUAGUGAACUACUUCUCACCUUCUGAUAUAGUCUUUUCGUCAAGUUUCUUCGCCCGAGAUUCUUUUCAAAUUGCUAGCUUCUUCCUUUUGUUUACAAUCCUACUUUAGAGCAUUAAAACAUGGUAAAAUAGGCAUGAAAGCUUGAGCAAGAUAUAUCUCUGAAUAUUUAUGCAUUUUCAACAUAACACACGCGUUUUGAUACACUUCUCAUCCAUUUUGGCCUCGUUAUUCUUUAAAACAGACUACAAUAACUUGUAUUUUUACAAGUUAUCAAUCCUUCCUUCACUAAGGUUACUGGGAUUCACUCUUGCCAUCAUCUUGGAUUCAGGUUACUACGAUGUUCACUCCAUCCACGACAUAUGAGGAUUUCCUAGAUUCAUUUCAUGUUACACCAAAUACCAUUUCUAUGCUUAGCCAUUCUCAUUGUGUUACUCACUUCCCCGCGAUAGAAUAACUUGGGUGCAUCUUACUCGUCUUUUCUCGAUUUAUGUUUCUUUUCUUACAAAAUAUUUAGCACUUUUACUUGUUCAAGAUAGUCCUUUUGACAAGGGUUUUUUAUACUGAUCAAGACCUCACAUUGAGAUUGUUGCUCGCUUUUGGAUUUCCAAGAGAUUAUGGAAUGUUCUAAGAAAAUCCAGAACCUAGUGAUGGAUCUUCUAGUAUCAAGACAUGAUCCCCAAUCAGUAUAAAUAAAGGCAUUUAAAUGGAAUGAGGUAAUAGGUUUUAUUAGAAUAACUUGGCCCACAGAUCUUUUUAGGUAUCUCAAUAAGUGGUGAACAACAUCUGUCAUCUACAUGUGUUUUUGUGGGUUUUUGAAUGAAUUGAUUGAGGCGAUGAACAACAAAACAAAUGUCCGGUCUCGAUAUUUUGAGGUAUAUUAGCCUUCCAAUUUGUCUUCUGUUGUAAGUGGUGUCCUCUUUAGUAACGGGUUUUCCUUCCUUCAUCUUUUGACAAUAUCAAAUUAGGAUCCAUCAUUGAUGCAGUUGGUUUUCUAUCAAAGAAACCAGUGUCUUCAAGUAUUUGAAGGUGAUAUUUUCUUUGGGAGAGCAUGAGUCCUUAUUGGGAUCGUGAUAGCUCUAAGCCUAGAAAAUAUUUUGCUUAUCUCAAAUUUUUGAGUUUGAAAUGUCCCUUUAGGAUGUCUUUGACUGAGUUAAAGAUUUUGAGAGAUGGUCGAAUUAGUUAUAUGUCAUCGACAUAUACUAACAAGGCUACAAGGUUGCUUCCAUUGCCUUGGGUAAAUAAUGAAUAGUUAGACUUUGACUGGUGAAAAUAGUGUGAGGAUAGUUUUAAUGCAAACUUGACGAACCAUUGUCUUGAAACUUGUUUGAGGUCAUAUAUUGAUUUGUUGAGUUUGCAAUCUAGCUUUUCUCCUUUUCUUGGUAUUUCUGAGGUUUGGUAGCCUAAGGGUCCGACAUGUGCACUUCUUCAAACAAAUCUCCAUUUAGAAAGGAAUUGUUUAUGUCUAUUUGGGUGAUGGGCUAAUUGUAGGAUGUGGCAAGAACUAGAAAGAUCAUGACAGUGACAAUUUUGGCAACCGGUGAGAAGGUGUUUAAGAAAUUGAUUUCUUCUUGUUGGCUCUAGCCAUUUGCUACAAGUCUUGUCUUGUAUUUGUUAAUUAUGUCAUAUAUGUUGUAUUUUACUUUGUACAUCCAUUUGCUAGUAACAGUGUACUGAUCUUUUGGUAGGAAUCAAUGUGUUAAUUCUUCCAUAGCCUCUAUUUCUUUUGUCAUAGCUUGUCACUAAUUCUGGUGUUUUACAGCUUAGUGAUAGUAAGUUGGUUCAUAUAUAAAGGUAAUGUUUAGUAGGUAAUUUUUAUGGUUUUGGAAGUAGGCAUUAUAUGAAAGGUGUUUUGUGAGCGGAAAAGGUGAAUUGCUUUUGGUAGUGAGGUUACGAUGGAAGUCUUUUAAGUAAGAGGGACCUUUGUGCUAUGAGAAUAGCUUAUUGGUUAGGGUUAUUGGUUUCUUCUAAAGCUUCAAUGUAGGCUUCUUGAUCAUCAUCAUUGUGACUAGCUUCAUGGACAUUUUUUGAUGUGUGGGUAAUGGGAUUUUCAGCAGUAUGAUUUGUGGUGACACAUUUGUUUUCAAUAUGGUUAAAUAAGGGGCAUGGUGUGAGAAACUAUUCCAGGAAGUCAUGUGAGGUGGAGUUGUCAUCUUCUUUGAUGGAAUGGAAUGGAAAUAGUUCUUCAAAGAAUAAGACAUCCUUGAAGAAAAAAAAUUCUUUUUAGUUAUGUCAUACAGUUUGUAGCCUUUCAUACCCGGUGGGAAUCCCAUGAAGAUACAUGGUUGUGCUUUGGAUCAAACGUUGAUAUCUUUGUUAGUAGUGUGAAGGCAUAUGCAAGUCAACCAAAUGUCUUUAUAUUUUUGUAGUCUACAUCUCUGCCAAACAAAGUAGUAAAGGGGGUGCUAUUUAAGAGUAGGACCAUGGGUGUUCUGUUGAUUAAGUAGGCGACAAUUAGUAUGCAUUCUCCUCAAAAGGUAAUGGGAAGUUUGGAUUGGAACAUCAAGACUCUUGCUACAUUGAGAAGGUGUUGAUGUUUUCUUUCAACAAAUGAGUUCUAUUGAGGAGUAUAAGCACAUGAAAACUGGUGGGUGGUUUCAGUGUUAGCAAAAAAAAUCUAUGAAGUUUAGCUCGGGGCAUUAUCAGAGUGCAAGGUUUUGAUCAAUGGGUUUCAAUAAGUUUUAAAAAUCAUGGAAUGACUUCUAAGACGUCAUUUUUAUUUCUCAAAAGAUGGAUUAAGGUAAAUCUUGAUUUAUCAUCAACAAUAGUAACAAGGUCAGAGUGACCAGCAUGUGUUUGGGUUUUAAAGGGACCCCAUAUAUCACAGUGCACAAAGUCAAAAGUUUGUUCAACAACAUUAUUCAAAGUAGGAAAUGAAAGAUGCUCUGUUUAGCUAAAGGAAAAAUAUGACAGACUUCUUUACAGUUUAAAGAAUCCAAAAUUUCUAUCAGUUUUGAUAGUUCUUUUAUUCUACUAGUAGAUGGAUGUCCCAUGGAUUGUGCCAAAUGGAUGUUGAAGCUUUACAUGUCAAUCACUUUGUUAGAUAUGAUGGCUUUUACUCUUUUCAUCUUUUAUUCUGAGUAAGUAGAGUCUGUUGAAAAGUUCAACCUCCCCAAUCAUUUUCGAAAAUGACUUGUCUUGAAUGAUGUAAUCAGUGUUAGAGAAUGAUAUAGAAUAUCUUUUAUCCUUGAGGACACUUACUAAUAGCAAAUUAUAUUUGAAAUCAGGUAUGUGAAGUGCAUCUUUCAGUAUCACUUCUUUUGUCAUGGAGGUGUCACAUAUUUACUCAAA